CACUCCUACGGGAGGCAGCAGUGGGGAAUAUUGGACAAUGGGCGCAAGCCUGAUCCAGCCAUGCCGCGUGAGUGAUGAAGGCCCUAGGGUUGUAAAGCUCUUUCACCGGAGAAGAUAAUGACGGUAUCCGGAGAAGAAGCCCCGGCUAACUUCGUGCCAGCAGCCGCGGUAAUACGAAGGGGGCUAGCGUUGUUCGGAAUUACUGGGCGUAAAGCGCACGUAGGCGGAUCGAUCAGUCAGGGGUGAAAUCCCAGGGCUCAACCCUGGAACUGCCUUUGAUACUGUCGAUCUGGAGUAUGGAAGAGGUGAGUGGAAUUCCGAGUGUAGAGGUGAAAUUCGUAGAUAUUCGGAGGAACACCAGUGGCGAAGGCGGCUCACUGGUCCAUUACUGACGCUGAGGUGCGAAAGCGUGGGGAGCAAACAGGAUUAGAAACCCGAGUAGUCCCAUG
rnacentral:rRNA from 1 species